CCCUUAGAUGUUCUGGGCCGCACGCGCGCUACACUGAUCGGUGCAACAAGCAUCCGUCCUUGGCCGACAGGCCCGGGCAAUCUUUGAACGCCGGUCGUGAUGGGGAUAGACCUUUGCAAUUUUUGGUCUUCAACGAGGAAUUCCUAGUAAACGCAAGUCAUCAACUUGCAUUGAUUACGUCCCUGCCCUUUGUACACACCGCCCGUCGCACCUACCGAUUGAAUGGUCCGGUGAAACCUCCGGAUUGGCGCGUGCCCUCGGGCGCCGCCGAGAAGUUGGCUAAACCUUACCAUUUAGAGGAAGGUGAAGUCGUAACA
rnacentral:rRNA from 1 species